CUGCCCUCUUCAGGUCCAGACUGUGUGGGGUUUAUUUUCAGUACUCCGACAGUCUCUCCUGUGCCAUGCUGCUUCUCAGACACGUCUUAAUUAGUUUAAGUUUUUAGAAGGAUCUUUCGGCGCUUGCAACAGUAACAGGUGGUCUUUGUCUCCGCCCCCCAUCAGGUCCAGAUCUGAUGGACAACCAAUCCAAGCAGGAGCACCGGGCUCAAUGGACCAACACCUGCAGCCUGAGAUGGGUCGGACAGAGAGACGAAGCUGCGUUCAUGUUCACACUGGAUGUGUGUGAAACAAAGCACCAGUGUUCACAGAGGAUGUUUCUCAGUGAGUCACAGAAGAAGACGGACGUCCAGACGGGAACACUUCUGACUUUGUUCUGUUCGGGACAGUGAAUGUCCCCUGAUGCACUGUGACCAGACGGACCAAUCAGACCGCAGGACUGUGUCGUGACAGACCGAUGAUGUCACUUUGUUGAGCCCAGAGGUCUGUUUUGCUGCAUCAACACGUCUCCACACGAACGUCAUCAUAUUUUAAUUUUUAUCAUUUUACUUAUUUUAAUAACAUCUGAUUCUGUUCUCGCAUUCAAUGUGAGGUCACGUGACACGUUCAUUCAUAUCGUUAAAGAUAAACUU